rnacentral:rRNA from 1 species
UACGGGGGGAGCAAGCGUUGUUCGGAUUUACUGGGCGUAAAGGGCGCGUAGGCGGCGCAACAAGUCACUUGUGAAAUCUCCGGGCUUAACUCGGAACGGUCAAGUGAUACUGUUGUGCUAGAGUGCGGAAGGGGCAACUGGAAUUCUCGGUGUAGCGGUGAAAUGCGUAGAUAUCGAGAGGAACACCUGCGGCGAAGUCGGGUUGCUGGGCCGACACUGACGCUGAUGCGCGAAAGCCAGGGGAGCGAACGGG